UGUGAUGUGUUUAUUCCAAGUUUCACCAUUUAUAUAACUCAACUGCUAAGGAAUACAUACAGGGGGAUAUUGGCUCCUUUUCUAGCUGUUCACUAAAAUCUCUGAAUAACUCAAGGAAAAAAGUUGCAAUCCUCUGCUGUCACACAUAAGAGGCACAGUAAGGGAACGCAGGGGAGAGCUAUCCUUUGUGUUUAAACUUUUAUGCAAGCUCGAGGAUUCAGGAAGCUCCAGGAGACGGUGCAUAGCCUUCAAAAGUAUUACCACCAACAAAACUCGAAUGAAAGGCUAUCUGGUUUUCUCUUUCACGUUAUCAGACUGAAGCGGAAACUCCCAGGAAGACUGUUCAUGCUGAAGAGGAGAGAACGAAGAGCAGAAAUGAGUAGUGGGUGACGACAGCAUCCCCCCCCCUCUCCGCCAUCUCAAGACAAAGGGGACGCAGGGGAGUCUUGCGAAUCGGUCGGUGAAGAACUUGCUUCAGUGACCAUCUGACAUUGGAAUGUAUGGACUGCUCUUUGCUUUGCCCGGAUACUGAGAACGGAAUUAUCAUGUUUGCUUACAAAGCAAACAGCUUGGGCUCCCAGAAAGGUAAUUAUAACCCAGAAGACCCAGAUCGAAUUAGUCCUGUUGAAGUCAUUUCCCAUUCCACACUGAAGUAUCUCUUAAUGAAGAAGGUAGAUUUCUCUUCCAUAAAUACAUGUCCUCCUUAAAACGCUUCAGUGGCGUAAGAAAAUUCAUUACAUUUUGGACCUGACAAGGCUUCAACCAAAAAUAGUAUCACCCAGCCGGGCAUGGUGGUGCAUGUCUUAAAUUCUAGCACUCAGGAGGCAGAGAUAGGGGGACCUCUAUGUAUUCAAGGCUAUCCUGGUUUUCCCAGUGAGUUCCAGGCCAGUCAAGGCUACACAGUGUUGUAAAUGAUGAUGAUGAUGAUAAUGUCGCCCAGCUUGAGAGCCUGCUCAUCUCAGUCAUCUCUGCUGACCCCUGAGAGGUUCUGUCAGUUUUCACAUAUCAAAGCCAAGUCAGAAGAGGGAGGACUUGGCCAUUUCAUUACACACAAGAUCAAGUGCUGGAGAGACUCAGAUAGCGAUGACACAAAAGGAAUUCCAGAAACAUCGUAAGCAGCAUCAGCAACACUAAAACACGUGUGCGGUGACAUUAUCUCGCUGGUCCCCAGUUUACCUUGAAGAAGGCAAGUGUGUGCGGAUGGUGGAGUUCUGGAAGAGUCCCCACAGAGCACCAUGAAUACUGCAGGGGCAAAUCCUGCAGACCUCUUUGCAGAGUCAUGGCCUUCCAGGCUUGGGAGCCGGACUGCAAACAAAUCCAAGACUCGAAGCUGAUUUUCAAUGUAAUUGCUUCUCCUGCUGACGUUUUUUGUUUUAUUCUGGGUGUUUUUGUUUUUAGGGACAAGGUUUCUCUGUGUAGCCCUGGCUGUCCUGAAACUCUCUCUGUAGACCAGGCUGACCUGCCUCUGCCUCUGCCUCCCAAGUGCUGGGAUUAAAGGCGGGCACCGUCAUCACCCGGCUCCCUCUGGCUUUUAUGGGUAGUUAAGAAUAUUGCCUAGAAACAAAAAUGGAAGGAAACUUUUGGACAGAUGAGAUGGUCCUCUGCAUCUCCUCCGCUCCCGUGAAGGUUUGUUUCCUGAACUUUUACUCCCAUGCUUAUCUGGUAGAUGAUUUAUCAAGAGCAAAGGGAGGCCGGGUGGUAGUGGUGCAUGCCUUUAAUCCCAGCACUCGGGAGGCAGAGGCAAGAGGAUCUCUGUGAGUUCGAGACCAGCCUGGUCUACAAGAGCUAGUUCCAGGACAGCCUCCAAAGCCACAGAGACACCCUGUCUGGGGGGGGGGGGGAGAGCAAAGCAAAAAACUGGAAACAUUGUCUUGUAUUUGGACACACGUUUCUUUUCCCUUGUGUGGUAGAAUAGCAUCCUGGUUUUGAUCUGGUUCAAGUCCCAGCUGACUAUUCCCGGUAAUGCUCUCCUGGGUAGACCAGAAGACCAUCCUGGAAAAAGAACCUGAAGUACAGAGGACUUUUGUUUGCUUGGCUUUAGGUCCAAAGUACUCUAAGGAGAUCUUUGCCUCUGGUAGGGAGUGGCUCUCCUGUCCCUUCUCCCACCCCUGAUUCCUGCCCUCUGACUCUCAAGCACUGAGACUCCCUCAGCCUUCCCCCAGGACACCUAGGCAUUCAGAGCUCCAUGCGGAACAACUGGAUUUUUUUUUCCCCAGGAAAAUCGUGUCUGCGUCUCUUAACCAAUUCUGCCAGCCAGCCAGGACAGGCGGCCCUUUGGAAGGCAGCCCAGGUCUAGCCUUCCUCUUUGACACCAGGAAACUCCCUUGGAGGUACACAAGCUGUGACGGGAGGACUUUCCUCUUGUGGCCUCAUUAGUAAGAGGACUUGCGCUUUUCCGGAGCCAGUGGGCCCUUCCGUCUGAGAGCUGUGACCUGUGUGACCAUCAGGCUGCGUGGCCAGCGCCUUCACCCACAGAGCCAUCGUCCCGACCAUCUCUGGGACUUCCUGACAGGCAUGGUCUACCCUCGGCUCUCCACCCUGGCUCCUUAUUUUGCUUUUUGUAACUUUUUGUUCAUUAGUUUGUUUUCUUGAUGGUUCUAUUUUGUCCCUUUGGAGUUUCUAUGUCUUAUUUAGGAAAAUAGCAUGCUAUAAAUUAAGUCAAAUCACUUUUGAAAA